AUAUGCCUUAAGGUGGGGGACAACAGUUGGAAACGACUGCUAAUACCGCAUAAUGUCUACGGACCAAAGGAGGGGCUCUUCGGACCUUUCGCCUUUUGAUUAGCCCAAGUGAGAUUAGCUAGUAGGUAAGGUAAUGGCUUACCUAGGCGACGAUCUCUAGCUGGUUUGAGAGGAUGAUCAGCCACACUGGGACUGAGACACGGCCCAGACUCCUACGGGAGGCAGCAGUGGGGAAUAUUGCACAAUGGGCGCAAGCCUGAUGCAGCCAUGCCGCGUGUGUGAAGAAGGCCUUCGGGUUGUAAAGCACUUUCAGUAAGGAGGAAAGGUUAAGUUUUAAUAGAGCUUAGCUGUGACGUUACUUACAGAAGAAGCACCGGCUAACUCCGUGCCAGCAGCCGCGGUAAUACGGAGGGUGCGAGCGUUAAUCGGAAUUACUGGGCGUAAAGCGUACGCAGGCGGUUUGUUAAGCGAGAUGUGAAAGCCCCGGGCUCAACCUGGGAACUGCAUUUCGAACUGGCAAACUAGAGUGUGAUAGAGGGUGGUAGAAUUUCAGGUGUAGCGGUGAAAUGCGUAGAGAUCUGAAGGAAUACCGAUGGCGAAGGCAGCCACCUGGGUCAACACUGACGCUCAUGUACGAAAGCGUGGGGAGCAAACAG
rnacentral:rRNA from 1 species